rnacentral:rRNA from 1 species
UAGGGAAUAUUGGGCAAUGGGCGAGAGCCUGACCCAGCCAUGCCGCGUGCAGGAAGAAGGCUUUCUGAGUCGUAAACUGCUUUUGACAGGGAAGAAUAAGCGCUACGUGUAGCGUGAUGACGGUACCUGCAGAAUAAGCACCGGCUAACUCCGUGCCAGCAGCCGCGGUAAUACGGAGGGUGCGAGCGUUGUCCGGAUUUAUUGGGUUUAAAGGGUGCGUAGGCGGCCCGUUAAGUCCGGGGUGAAAGCCCGUUGCUCAACAACGGAACUGCCCUGGAUACUGACGGGCUUGAGUACAGACGAGGUUGGCGGAAUGGACCGAGUAGCGGUGAAAUGCAUAGAUACGGACCAGAACCCCGAUUGCGAAGGCAGCUGACUAGGCUGUUACUGGCGCUGGGGCACGACAGCGUGGGGAGCGAACAGG